rnacentral:rRNA from 1 species
GACGAACGCUGGCGGCGUGCUUAACACAUGCAAGUCGAACGGUGAAGGGACCGGUUUUUGCUGGUUCUGGUUGAGUGGCGCACGGGUGAGUAACACGUGAGUAACCUGCCCCCUUCUUCUGGAUAACCGCAUGAAAGUGUGGCUAAUACGGGAUAUUCUGCGCCUGCUGCAUGGUGGGUGUGGGAAAGAUAUUGUUUCGGUGGGGGAUGGGCUCGCGGCCUAUCAGCUUGUUGGUGGGGUGAUGGCCUACCAAGGCGGUGACGGGUAGCCGGCCUGAGAGGGUGGACGGUCACACUGGGACUGAGACACGGCCCAGACUCCGACGGGAGGCAGCAGUGGGGAAUAUUGCACAAUGGGCGCAAGGCUGAUGCAGCGACGCCGCGGGAGGGAUGGAGGCCUUCGGGUUGUAAACCUCUUUCGCCAGUGAAGCAGGCCUGUCCCUUUUGUGGGUGGGUUGACGGUAGCUGGAGAAGAAGCGCCGGCUAACUACGUG